rnacentral:rRNA from 1 species
CCUACGGGUGGCUGCAGUGGGGCAUAUUGCACAAUGGGGGAAACCCUGAUGCAGCGACGCCGCGUGAGUGAAGAAGGUUUUCGGUUUGUAAAGCUCUAUCAGCAGGGAAGAAAAUGACGGUACCUGAUUAAGAAGCCACGGCUAACUCCGUGCCAGUAGACGCGGUAAUACGGAGGGGGAAAGCGUUAUCCGGAUUUACGGGGAGUAAAGGGAGCGUAGACGGCAGCACAAGUCUGGAGUGAAAUGCCGGUGAUUAACCCCGGAACUGCCUUUGAACCUGUGCAGCCAGAGUGCAGGAGAGGUUAGUGGAAUUCCAAGUGUAGCAGUGAAAUGCGUAGAUAGUAGGAGGAACACCAGUGGUGAAGGCGACUUACUGGACGGUAACUGACGUUGAGGCGCGAAAGCGUGGGGAGCAAACAGGAUUAGAUACCCUUGUAGUC